UACGUAGGGGGCGAGCGUUGUCCGGAGUUACUGGGCGUAAAGCGCGCGCAGGCGGUUUGUUAAGUUUGCACUGACAGCUCCUGGCUUAACCGGGAGAGGCGUGUGAAAACUGGCAGACUUGAGGGCCUCAGAGGGACAUGGAAUUCCAGGUGGAGCGGUGAAAUGCGUAGAGAUCUGGAGGAACACCAAUAGCGAAGGCAGUGUCCUGGGAGGCACCUGACGCUCAGGCGCGAAAGCCAGGGGAGCGAACGGG
rnacentral:rRNA from 1 species